UACGAAGGGGGGCUAGCGUUGCUCGGAAUUACUGGGCGUAAAGGGCGCGUAGGCGGAUACUUAAGUCGGGGGUGAAAGCCCGGGGCUCAACCUCGGAAUUGCCUUCGAUACUGGGUAUCUUGAGUUCGGGAGAGGUGAGUGGAAUGCCGAGUGUAGAGGUGAAAUUCGUAGAUAUUCGGCGGAACACCAGUGGCGAAGGCGACUCACUGGCCCGAUACUGACGCUGAUGCGCGAAAGCGUGGGGAGCAAACAGGG
rnacentral:rRNA from 1 species